rnacentral:rRNA from 1 species
GACGAACGCUGGCGGCGUGCUUAACACAUGCAAGUCGAACGAUGAGGCCCAGCUUGUGUGGUGUGCUCGUGUCGAACGGGGGUGUAACACGCGAGUAUCCCCCGCCUUUCACUUGGGUAAGACUUCGGGAAUCUGGGGAAAAUACGGGAUGACUUCUCAUCCUACGUGGUGGGGGGGGGAGAUUUGUUGGUGUUGGAUGGACUCGCGGGGUAUCAGCUUGUUGGUGUGGUAUUGGCUCACCAAGGCGACGACGGGUAGCCGGCCUGAGAGGGUGACCGGCCACACUGGGACUGAGACACGGCCCAGACUCCUACGGGAGGCAGCAGUGGGGAAUAUUGCACAAUGGGCGCAAGCCUGAUGCAGCGACGCCGCGUGAGGGAUGACGGCCUUCGGGUUGUAAACCUCUUUCAGUAGGGAAGAAGCGAGAGUGACGGUACCUGCAGAAGAAGCGCCGGCUAACUACGUG